AACGAACGCUGGCGGCAGGCUUAACACAUGCAAGUCGAGCGCCCCGCAAGGGGAGCGGCCGACGGGUGAGUAACGCGUGGGAACGUACCUUUUGGUUCGGAACAACUCCGGGAAACUGGAGCUAAUACCGGAUAAGCCCUAACGGGGAAAGAUUUAUCGCCGAAAGAUCGGCCCGCGUCUGAUUAGCUAGUUGGUGAGGUAACGGCUCACCAAGGCGACGAUCAGUAGCUGGUCUGAGAGGAUGAUCAGCCACACUGGGACUGAGACACGGCCCAGACUCCUACGGGAGGCAGCAGUGGGGAAUAUUGGACAAUGGGCGCAAGCCUGAUCCAGCCAUGCCGCGUGAGUGAUGAAGGCCUUAGGGUUGUAAAGCUCUUUUGUCCGGGAAGAUAAAGACUGUACCGGAAGAAUAAGCCCCGGCUAACUUCGU
rnacentral:rRNA from 1 species